AGAGUUUGAUCCUGGCUCAGGACAAACGCUGGCGGCGUGCUUAACACAUGCAAGUCAAGGAGAACGGGAAUCUUCGGAAUCCCUAGUAAACUGGCGAAAGGGUGAGUAACGCGUAGGUAACCUACCCUCGAGUGGGGAAUAACCCGCCGAAAGGCGGGCUAAUACUGCAUGAUAUUUCGGGAUCGCAUGGUCCUGAAAUUAAAGAUUUAUCGCUUGAGGAUGGGCUUGCGUCCUAUUAGUUUGUUGGUGAGGUAAAAGCUCACCAAGACUACGAUGGGUAGCUGGUCUGAGAGGAUGGUCAGCCACACUGGCACUGAGAUACGGGCCAGACUCCUACGGGAGGCAGCAGUGAGGAAUAUUGGGCAAUGGGCGAAAGCCUGACCCAGCAACGCCGCGUGGGCGAUGAAGCUCUGUGGAGUGUAAAGCCCUGUUAGGAGGGAA
rnacentral:rRNA from 1 species